GACGUAGGGUGCAAGCGUUGUCCGGAUUUACUGGGCGUAAAGAGCGCGUAGGCGGUCUGUUAAGUGAGAAGUGAAAGCUCUGGGCUCAACCCAAAAAUUGCUUUUCAUACUGGCAGACUGGAGUGAUGCAGAGGUUUGUGGAAUUCCUGGUGUAGCGGUGAAAUGCGUUGAUAUCAGGAGGAACACCGAUGGCGAAGGCAGCAAACUGGGCAUUAACUGACGCUGAGGCGCGAAAGCGUGGGUAGCAAACAGG
rnacentral:rRNA from 1 species